CCUACGGGAGGCUGCAGUGAGGAAUUUUGCGCAAUGGACGAAACCCUGACGCAGCAACGCCGCGUGAACGAGAAGCGCUUCGGGGUGUUAAGUUCUGUCAGUGGGGACAAAAAAUGAUGAUCCUACCUGAGGAAGAACCUGCUAACUACUGGCCAGCAGCAGCGGUAAUACUGAGGGUGGAAGAGUUGUCCGUCAGCAUUGGGGGUAAAGAGUUCGUCGGCGGCAUGUAAAGUCAGUUGAUAAAGGCGCAGGCUCAACCUGGGUGUGGAACUUGAUAAUGGCAGUCUGGAAUGCAGUAGAGGUAAGUGGAAGUCCUGGUGUAGCGGUGAAAUGCUUAGAUAGUAGGAGGAACACCAGUGGCGUAAGCGCUUAACUGGGCCGUAAUUGACGCUGAGGAACGAAAGCCAGGGUAGCAAAUGGGAUUAGAGACCCGAGUAGUC
rnacentral:rRNA from 1 species